GCUGCGGGAUUUGAACUGGCAACCUUCCAGCCACAGGCGCAGAUCCUGAGCCACAGAGCCACCGCUCUGCCCAUGAACUAAUAGCUGACCUUGAGGUGAUUUGAACACGCAGCCUUCGGAUCUGGAGUCAGAAACGCUACCGUUGCGCCACACCACAGCUUAAUAAGCUAUACUUAUCAAGCUGAUCUGUCAGGUCAUUUAGGGAAUCACAGGUAUAUUAAAUUUGAGGUAAUUGAAAUAAACAGCAGCCCUCUCUCAAGGAAAAAGUAGUUAUGUAUUUCGACUUGCUUUUAAGCCAACAAAGAACAUAUUCCCAAAUGCAAAGCUAUAAAAAAGAAGAUGACUUCAUCAUUCAGAAUGCGCUGCCAAGCUGUUAAACUGAAAUACAGCAUUUCAUCACCCUUUUAUGCUCUAAUUUCUAAAAAGAAUACAGUCAAGUUAGCAAACAUUUCUUUUACAAACUUUAACAGUGAGUGACUAAACUCCUUCUUAAUGUUUGCCCAAUGGUGCUGCUUGCCUUUCUUUAUGUUUAGAAACUAUUACUCAGAAUCUAGCAACGUUGUUCUUUGUACCCUGUCAAAAUGUUAGUCUUUCAAGGGCCGUUAUCUCCUGCCAGCAAACACACUGAAUCUUGGUGACCUCUAUACAGAUCGUCUACUUAUUAAUGGGAAGAAAGACAGAAUGUACUCAUGUAUCCCAAUUUCUUUGUGAUGUGGGUCCACUUAUGGGGCAUACAGUAUGUACAAUACUCUAUUGGGAGAGGUUUCUGGAACAGUGUGGCCAGAAUUUUCCAACUCUUAUUCUCUGUGGACUGGCAAAACAAGAAGAAAAAUCUUCUAAUGAUCCACUUCCUGAGUGCGUUGAACUCUAAUGUCACCUUACUCCUACUCUGCCUUAAAGAAAAACAGCAUGAAAACAGCACAAAAUCAAAGCGUGAGGAGCCACAAAAUAAAGGGGUGACACUGCAGCCCAACACGACAGAACAGAAAUAUGCAGUGCUGCCAGUAAAGUCAAGAAAAUCAUGGGAAAACAUGUUGGGGAAACAAAUGGGGUAUAUGUAAUUAUAAAAAGUAUAUUGUAAUUUGUAUUUACUGUACAAACACCGUCUAUGAUUGCAGUGUCUCUUUUUUGUUCUUAUCAAAAGCCAUUGUUAUUGUAUCAUCCAAAAAGUAUUUAAAAAACAUAAAACAUCAACCAUUUUGAAUGAACACAAACAUUUACUGAUAGUACAAAAACCAUUAAAGGUACUGUGGCAUAUAGGGUUCUUUUUUACAUCACUUGCUUAUUCACUGGGUUAGACAUUCAUUCUUUUCCUAUUAUUUGUCUGUGUGUUGUGUCGGCUGAAGUUUGCAGAAAUGCUCUAUAUAGUAUAUGAAGAAACAAACUCUGUAGGAAAUGACCUCAUGGAGUUCUCCUGCCCUUCAGAAGAACUUUUAGUUCAGACCUGUCAUUAAAAUUAGCAUUUUUUUCCAGAAUUGGGCUAACAUUUAGUCUAUAUGUCCCUGGAUCUGAAAGAACUAUAUAAUUCUUGUCCAUUUGUUUUAUCUCUUCAGUCCCAGAAGCACUGGAAGUGAGGGCAAUGUCUGCCAGGAGAAUCAUUUCAAUAAGUAAAUUAUUAAUUUAAUUAAUUAACAGAUUUCAGUUCAAACACAAAACAGGAGAUGCUGAAGUCUCAAAGGGUCAGAAGUAGGGAGCCCUUAAUUUGUAAUAUUCUUUAAGAUGGAGGAGCCUGCAUUUAUGCAUGUUCCAGAAGUAGCACUCAUUUACUGUAAUUAAAAUUCUUGAGAUUCUUUUAUUAUUCAUAUUUAAUAAUGAUGCCUCAGAGCAUCUUUGGAAUUGGAAUAACUAUGAAUUUGGCCUUGGAUCUCCACUGCAAAAUAAACCUUGUGUGUAGUAUAUUCUAGUAAAGUAAAAGCUCACACUGUGAGGCUGACAAACAACAUGCUAGUUCAGCUGAACCCUCUGAAACCCUAAACAGGUUUAUUUCACUGUAAAUCAGCACCUACAAGACUGAUGUGUACAUUCUAAGUGUUACAUAUCAAGGAACAAAAUAAUUAAAAAGCCUAGAGAUUUUGUUUCUCUUAGUAGUUAAGAAAAGAAGGAACCUAUCUGCUUGUCAUAAGAAUGAAUGCUUUGUACAUCAAUACAAUUGCUGGCUUGUGUUUUUAUUUUUGAACAAUUGAAUUUCUUUCUGUUAAUACCCCACAUCUUCAGAUUAUAAAUAAAAUCAUCAUUUUA